UCUUUUCAUACUACGAAGUCGGUCAGAUGGCUAAGUAUGUUCUCUUUCGGAACUCGCUAUUUAUGAUGUCAUUUUAUUUCUUCAGCUAUUUUUGUGGAUAUAUACAAUCUUUGAAGUCUUGAAAUCAAUAAAAAUACCUCAAAACCUUGUGAGGUAUCUUCUUUUUUUUUUAUUAUCAGUUUCGUACCUAAGCUCAUCACAUUCCGGAUAUUCACUUGCUUGUUCAUUCUUCUUAUAAAAUAAUAUACAAUCAUUUUUGCAGGAAUAUAUAGGAAUAUAGCCAAAUCUCAAUUUUUGCUUGUAUGUUUUUACUUCAGAAUAUGAUUUCGAAAGUCUCUCUCCAUC
rnacentral:lncRNA from 1 species